UGGUUGGAUUCUGCCAGUAGUCAUAUGCUUGUCUCAAAGAUUAAGCCAUGCAUGUCUCAGUGCAGGCCUUUAAACGGUGAAACCGCGAAUGGCUCAUUAAAUCAGCUAUGGUUUAUUGGAUCGUACCCGUUAAAUGGAUAACUGUAAUAACUCUAGAGCUAAUACAUGCCAUGAUGCCCUGACCUCGCUAGCUGCCACAGUGGUUAGUUGGGGGAUGGGUGCACUUAUUAGAUCAGAAGCCAACCAGUACAUGCGUUCGCACUCUUUAAUGGGUAAGAGCGUAUGGGCUGUAGUACUUCUGGUGACUCUGGAUAAUUGUUACAGAUCGCAGUCGGCCUUGAGUCGGCGACGGGUCCUUCAAAUGUCUGCCCUAUCAACUUUCGAUGGUAGGUGAACCUGCGAAAAGGAUCAA
rnacentral:rRNA from 2 species